GGUGAUAAACCGGAGGAAGGUGGGGAUGACGUCAAGUCAUCAUGGCCCUUACGAGUAGGGCUACACACGUGCUACAAUGGCGUAUACAAAGAGAAGCGACCUCGCGAGAGCAAGCGGAACUCAUAAAGUACGUCGUAGUCCGGAUUGGAGUCUGCAACUCGACUCCAUGAAGUCGGAAUCGCUAGUAAUCGUAGAUCAGAAUGCUACGGUGAAUACGUUCCCGGGCCUUGUACACACCGCCCGUCACACCAUGGGAGUGGGUUGCAAAAGAAGUAGGUAGCUUAACCUUCGGGAGGGCGCUUACCACUUUGUGAUUCAUGACUGGGGUGAAGUCGUAACAAGGUAACCGUAGGGGAACCUGCGGUUGGAUCACCUCCUUA
rnacentral:rRNA from 1 species